UGUUGGGUAGUCCGCACGAGCGCACCCUGUCGUUAGUUGCCAGCAUUUCGGAUGGGCACUUUAACGAGACUCCCGGUGUCAAACCGGCGGAAGAUGGGGAUGACGUCAAGUCCUCAUGGCCCUUAUGGUCGGGGCUACACACGUACUACAAUGGCACGUACAAAGGGUUGCAAUACCGCGAGGUGGAGCCAAUCCCAAAAAAGGUGCCUCAGUUCGGAUCGGAGUCUGCAACUCGACUCCGUGAAGUCGGAAUCGCUAGUAAUCGUGGAUCAGCAUGCCACGGUGAAUACGUUCCCGGGCCUUGUACACACCGCCCGUCACACCACGAAAGUUGGCUGGACCCGAAGUCGCUAACCCAACCUUAGGGAGGGAUGCGCCUACGGUCUGGUUGAUGAUUGGGGUGAAGUCGUAACAAGGUAGCCGUAGGGGAACCUGCGGCUGGAUCACCUCCUUU
rnacentral:rRNA from 1 species